CCAACAGGGAUUGCCUCAGUAACGGCGAGUGAAGCGGCAACAGCUCAAAUUUGAAAUCUGGCCCUAGGCCCGAGUUGUAAUUUGCAGAGGAUGCUUUUGGUGCGGUGCCUUCCAAGUUCCCUAGAACGGGACGCCAGAGAGGGUGAGAGCCCCGUACAGUUGGACACCAAGCCUUUGUAAAGCUCCUUCGACGAGUCGAGUAGUUUGGGAAUGCUGCUCAAAAUGGGAGGUAUAUUUCUUCUAAAGCUAAAUACCGGCCAGAGACCGAUAGCGCACAAGUAGAGUGAUCGAAAGAUGAAAAGCACUUUGAAAAGAGGGUUAAACAGCACGUGAAAUUGUUAAAAGGGAAGCGCUUGUGACCAGACUUGCGUCCGGUGAAUCACCCAGCUCUCGCGGCUGGGGCACUUCGCCGGCUCAGGCCAGCAUCAGCUCGCUGUCGGGGACAAAAGCUUCAGGAACGUAGCUCUCUUCGGGGAGUGUUAUAGCCUGUUGCACAAUACCCUUCGGCGGGCUGAGGUACGCGCUCCGCAAGGAUGCUGGCAUAAUGGUCAUCAGCGACCCGUCUUGAAACACGGACCAAGGAGUCAACCUUAUGUGCGAGUGUUCGGGUGUCAAACCCCUACGCGUAAUGAAAGUGAACGCAGGUGAGAGCUUCGGCGCAUCAUCGACCGAUCCUGAUGUUCUCGGAUGGAUUUGAGUAAGAGCAUAUAGGGUUGGACCCGAAAGAAGGUGAACUAUGCGUGUAUAGGGUGAAGCCAGAGGAAACUCUGGUGGAGGCUCGCAGCGGUUCUGACGUGCAAAUCGAUCGUCAAAUAUGCGCAUGGGGGCGAAAGACUAAUCG
rnacentral:rRNA from 1 species